ACCGUAGCCCAAACAUAAGUGUAAAAAACAGUUCGUACGCAGCCCUGACUCGCCCGUCGCUGAAAUUGCUGCCCCGCACGAGGGUUUCUUCCGCCGCCGCGCCCCCAUCCCUCCGCCGCCGCCGUCCCUCCACCCUGUGGUACCCGUCCUCGAUCCGUGGUCACCAAAUCUGGACGAGAUCGGCAGGAUCCGCCGCAUGUCCCGCGACACCUAGCCGCAGCUGCUCGUCGGCCAUGCGGGGAGCACGGACGAGCUGCUCGUCGACGUCCAUCCCGCAGCCCCGCUGACGACCGUGCCCAGCCUCCUCGACAUCGCGCCUCUCCAACUUGCCGCAUGCCAAAUUUUAGUAGGGGAAGGAUGGAUACCGCAAGGCUUUCAUAUGUGUUUUGAUUUUGCCGAUAGGGAUUUCUAAUAUUCUGACAAGAGUCAAACUAGCAAUCGUGAAGAUGGAGAAUUCAUGCAACUCCAUCUUACUUCAACCCUCAGCCAUCUAAUUGGUGGUAUGGUGUGCUUCUGAUGGUAUUUCACGGCGUUUGUACCAGCAGCAUAGUAAAAAACUCCCGUCAACACGGCUUAUUUAUCGUUUCUGGAGGGCCUCACAGAUGAGCUAUUCAUCGGCGGCACCCUGCCAGUCAUUUAGAGGAUCUGCGGGAACAAAUAAACAAGCAGAGCGUCAUCAGUCAGGGACCAACAUCCAUGCCAACUGCCCAAGAUGACUGCUAAGGCAAUUAAUAUUCUCUCUCAAUCUUCAGCCACCAUCUGAUGUUAAUUGAUCUUGAUCUUCUCCACUCGCCAAUUCUGAAGACACUUCGGAUCUCACAAUAACUUCAUUCAGUCUUUAAGAAUAAUCAAAGGGUGCAAACGGGGCCAGUGAGUAGGCGGCGAGUAUACUACGCCGAGAAGCGAUACAGGGGCAUGAAUCUUGAGCCGGUGUGCGCAACGACCUGCGCUACUGCACUAAUAGCCUUGACAGAGCACUAGGGCCGGCUCGACAGGGCAUGCAGCCCGCCGGUGGAUGCCUGAAUGUGCGCGA